ACUUCAAGUAAAUCCUGCUCACUGAAAUUAUUUAAAAGCCGCAGUAUUCUAACUGUGCUAAGGUAGCAUAAUCAUUUGUUAUUUAAAUGAUAACUAGUAUGAACGGCCCGACGAAAAAAUAACUUUCUUCUUUUUUUUCUAUAAAAAUUAUAUUAAAGUAAAAAAGCUUUAUUGCUUCAAAAGGACGAUAAGACCCUAGAACCUUUAUUAUUAAAUUUACUGGGGCGGUAGUAAUCUAAACAAUUCGUAAAUUAAACUUCUUGAAAGAUAAUAUGAAACUUUUUAAAAAAAAAUUAGGUACUCUAGGGAUAACAGCAUAAUCCUCCUUAAGAGACCUUAUCGACAGAAGGGAUUUUGACCUCGAUGUUGAAUUGAGAUUUCUUAUUAAAGCAAAAUUUAUUAAAGAAGGUCUGUUCGACCUUUAUU
rnacentral:rRNA from 1 species